rnacentral:rRNA from 1 species
UACGGGGGGGGCAAGCGUUGUUCGGAAUUACUGGGCGUAAAGGGCUCGUAGGCGGCCAACUAAGUCGGAUGUGAAAUCCCCAAGCUUAACUUGGGAACUGCAUCCGAUACUGGACGGCUUGAAUCCGGGAGAGGGAUGCAGAAUUCCAGGUGUAGCGGUGAAAUGCGUAGAUAUCUGGAGGAAUACCGGUGGCGAAGGCGGCAUCCUGGACCGGCAUUGACGCUGAGGAGCGAAAGCUAGGGGAGCAAACGGG